CCGUAGGUGAACCUGCGGAAGGAUCAUUGUCGAAACCUGCCCAGCAGUACAACCCGCGAACGAGUUUAUCCACUGCGGAAGGUGCCUCGUGCGCCCGAAGCAAGGCCCCGUUGGGUGCUAUGCUCCCUGCGGUGGCCGCGUAAACAAACCCCGGCGCGGAAAGCGCCAAGGAAAACAAACUCAUAAGCGAGGACGUUCCCAUCACCCCGGAAACGGUGCGUGCUUGGGUUGCGCUUCUCCUUUCAUAACCACAACGACUCUCGGCAACGGAUAUCUCGGCUCUCGCAUCGAUGAAGAACGUAGCGAAAUGCGAUACUUGGUGUGAAUUGCAGAAUCCCGUGAACCAUCGAGUCUUUGAACGCAAGUUGCGCCCAAAGCCUUCGGGCCGAGGGCACGUCUGCCUGGGUGUCACGCAUCGUCGCUCCCUCCCAACAAUUCCAACGGGAUUGUGAGAGCUGGAGCGGAAAAUGGCCUCCCGUGAGCCACUGCGUUCGCGGUUGGCCCAAACACGAAUCCAUGUCGGCCAGUGCCGCGACAAUCGGUGGUUGAAAAGACCCUCUGACAAUGCCGCGUGCACCUGUUCGACGCGAAGGAUCCCACGACCCUCUAUGUAUCCGACGCGACCCCAGGUCAGGCGGGAUUACCCGCUGAGA
rnacentral:rRNA from 1 species